AUUGAACGCUGGCGGCAGGCCUAACACAUGCAAGUCGAACGGUAACAGGAAGACGCUUGCUUCUUUGCUGACGAGUGGCGGACGGGUGAGUAAUGUCUGGGAAACUGCCUGAUGGAGGGGGAUAACUACUGGAAACGGUAGCUAAUACCGCAUAACGUCGCAAGACCAAAGAGGGGGACCUUCGGGCCUCUUGCCAUCGGAUGUGCCCAGAUGGGAUUAGCUAGUAGGUGGGGCAACGGCUCACCUAGGCGACGAUCCCUAGCUGGUCUGAGAGGAUGACAAGCCACACUGGAACUGAGACACGGUCCAGACUCCUACGGGAGGGAGCAGUGGGGAAUAUUGCACAAUGGGCGCAAGCCUGAUGCAGCCAUGCCGAGUGUAUGAAGAAGGCCUUCGGGUUGUAAAGUACUUUCAGCGGGGAGGAAGGGAGUAAAGUUAAUACCUUUGCUCAUUGACGUUACCCGCAGAAGAAGCACCGGCUAACUCCGUG
rnacentral:rRNA from 1 species